rnacentral:rRNA from 1 species
GACGAACGCUGGCGGCGUGCUUAACACAUGCAAGUCGAACGGAAAGGCCCUGCUUUUGUGGGGUGCUCGAGUGGCGAACGGGUGAGUAACACGUGAGUAACCUGCCCUUGACUUUGGGAUAACUUCAGGAAACUGGGGCUAAUACCGGAUAGGAGCUCCUGCUGCAUGGUGGGGGUUGGAAAGUUUCGGCGGUUGGGAAUGGACUCGCGGCUUAUCAGCUUGUUGGUGGGGUAGUGGCUUACCAAGGCUUUGACGGGUAGCCGGCCUGAGAGGGUGACCGGCCACAUUGGGGCUGAGAUACGGCCCAGACUCCUACGGGAGGCAGCAGUGGGGAAUAUUGCACAAUGGGCGGAAGCCUGAUGCAGCAACGCCGCGUGCGGGAUGACGGCCUUCGGGUUGUAAACCGCUUUCGCCUGUGACGAAGCGUGAGUGACGGUAAUGGGUAAAGAAGCACCGGCUAACUACGUG